UACGUAGGCAGCGAGCGUUGUUCGGAGUUACUGGGCGUAAAGAGUGCGUAGGCGGUUUUCUAAGUUUGGUGUGAAAUCUCCCGGCUUAACUGGGAGGGUGCGCCGAAAACUGGAAGGCUUGAGUUUGGGAGAGGUAAGCGGAAUUCCUGGUGUAGCGGUGAAAUGCGUAGAUAUCAGGAGGAACACCUGCGGUGUAGACGGCUUACUGGACCAUAACUGACGCUGAGGCACGAAAGCGUGGGUAGCAAACAGG
rnacentral:rRNA from 1 species